rnacentral:lncRNA from 1 species
GUGCGGCCCCAAGGCAUCGCCGCGAAGCCCUUGCUCGAGACCUACGGAGAUCGUGGGUCCCAAGCCCCACGGGGCUGCCCGGGUCCGCGGAGCCCAGCGGUGAGCCCAGCCCUAGGCGCGGGACCCCCGGCCGUCCACCGCCGCUUCCUCCCCGGGCCAUCAGCGGGGAGCAGGACGCGCGGGCCGCAGGCCUCCGCGCGCCCGCGCCCACCGUUCGCAGGGGACGCGGCCUCGACGUCCCCAGUCGCCCCACCCGCGUCACCGGUGCCAAGCGGCGCUUCCAAGCCCCGCCGUCGAGCCCAACCCCUCCCGGCGUUCCCCCCCUCCCCGCCCGGGAGCCCGGAACCCGGGUCGCGCCAGAGGCGACGCGUCCCUUACCGCGCAGCGGCUCCGGACGACUCCACAGCCCCGCGCCGCGCUGGGCAUUUUUUCUGGGAAACUUCUCCCGGGGUCCGCAGGGCUGAGCCGCGCGGGCAGGAAAAGCGCUCAGCGCCCGGAGGCUGCGACCAUCCGGGAACUUCGCCGAGAUGUGGGCCCUCCCCCUCGGCGCCGCGGCCCCCCCGCCGCCGCCCCGCCACAUGUGGACGCGCCGCGAGGCCCCGCCGGCCCGCGGCCUGCCCUCCGCGCGCCCGCCUGCCCCGCCGGCAAUGGGGCUCCGCGCCCGCAGUUUCCCGCCGAGGAGCGCGGCGGGCGGAUAGUCGGGGCUGGAGUUCACAGUUUCCUCCGUCCCGCUCCCCUGCGCAGCGAGGGGACCGAGGCCAGGGCGCCCGGGACAGGAGUUUGCAGAGGAGCGGGAACUGGAAGGGGAGUCUAGCCCAGGGCGUUUUCCCCCAACUCUUGAAUCCUCUCCACCUUCUUGCGGCUGCUGGCAGGGGGAUCGGGUCGGGGCGUCUCCUCUCUCCGAGCCGGAAGGAACGCCUUUUCCCACGCUUUCCCGUCUGCUCUCAAAUAAAGAGAGUCCAAACUUUCAUAUAUCUGAAAUUCAAAUUCAUUUUUAAAAAUGGAUUUCAAAUUUGGGUGAACCCCACAGAGGCCCAAGGUCCACACGCAUCUGACUCCUGCCCACUGUGUGGGAACAACGUGCUGGGAAAGAUGCUGCCUCUCCUCACCAGUCGGGUGGAAUUGAAUUGUUUUGCUGCCAGUGGGGAUGGAUUUAUCAUCAGCCACCCACAUCCUUAA